AUAACAUCAUUCACACAAGAUUCUUGCUCUUUUUUCUACAUUAUUUUAUUGCUCUUCUUGAAUCAUCUUCCUCUUCCUCUUUUUUUUCCUUUUUUCUGUUGUUGAUAAAUUUGUUGUUAUUAUUACCUUUACAAACUCAUUAGUUUUAUUUAUUAAAAUAUGAUAUUCUUUGUUGUCAUGAUGGUGAUGGGUUGGCAUGCUCGCAGGAAUUCUGGCUUUUCUAAAUUUCUUUGACACAUGUUCAUCUUCUUCCUGUGAUGUGUCUUUUGCUUUCUGGGUUGUCCUCAGAAUUCAGAACUCAGAAUUCAGACAGUUACAGUUUAUCAUAAACCGAUUUGGAUUCAGAGUCACAAUUGAACUCUUAUUGAUUUUUCUUUUUCUGUGGAAUUAUUUGUUUGUGGGGAUUCUGUCAGGAAUUCAAUUCCCCAAGUUCACAUGCGUGCUUUUCUCGGAGCCUUCUGUUUUUGAAUUUCGCAAUUGGGUCAGAGUGAAAAAUUGCUUCUUUCAACCAAUUCAGGAUUAAUUUUGUGAAAAACAGAUUUUCAUGUCUCACAGUCAUCUUUGAAUUCAACUGGUGCAACAAUUCUUGAUAAGAAACCUUGGAAUUUCGUACGCUACAAAAAUUGCUGCUCUGGUUUUGUGCAAAUUGCUCAUGAUGAUUGUCUCAAUGAGUUUUAUGUGCUUGGGAUGAUUUAAAAUUCUGGGUUUUGUGGUUUGAAUCUUAAAUGGACGUGCCUCCUUAUUGUAAGCACUUCAGAGUAUUCGGUUGCCACUUGAAUUCCUUUGCAUGCAAAUGUGUUGUUUUAGCUUUCAUUGCUCUGAUUCUCAGAGCUGUUCUGCUUCCUACGUUCCAUAAUUUUGGUGGAGCUGAACAGAGCAAGUUGGUCUUCAUCAGUAACCUCUCUUUGUCACUCGGUCAGAAAUUCGGAAUUAGAAAAGAUAAGUUUCUGGAGGUUCCUCAAAUUGUAUGGGGCUUAAACAAUCAAAAGAUUGCGUUUGCAAGAGCUUGUUUAACUGCAAGGUUUCUGAACCGGACUCUUUUGAUGCCCAGCUUGAGUGCUUCCCUGUUCUACAAAGAAGUCGAGCUCUUGGAGCCUAUUUCCUUUGAUAAGGUGUUCCAGUUCAAGAAGUUUAAUUCUCUCUGUAAUGGCUUUGUUCAACUGGGCGAGUUCUCGGAUCUUAGAAACCGAACGGAAGCCUUUGAGCUUCAGAAAGGAAGUGGAAGGAGGUGGACACCUGAGAGAGAUUUGUAUCAGUUGAAACAGCACAAUGAGGAUCCAUAUAAUGAGUUUGAGGUCAUUCGAAUCAUUGGAAAGAACCCGUUUCUGUGGCACGAUCAUUGGCCUGUGAAGGACUAUGCGAAGGUAUUUGAGUGCUUGGUUCUGGUUGAUGAGAUAAUGAAUGAAGUAGAUAAAGUUGUGUCCAGGAUUAGAGAGAUAGGAGCAGCACAAGUAAGAAGCCAGAAUGAGUCUCCACAAAAUGGCAUUAACCGGGCAGAGAAGCCUCUCUUGCAGCCAGUGCCUUAUGUGGCUGUACACAUGAGGAUAGAGAUAGACUGGAUGAUUCAUUGUAAGAAGCUAGAGCAAAGAUCAAACAUAAGUCAAAUUUGUAGCAGCAAGGAGGAGAUCAUGGAGAGAGUGGGCAACAUUGCUGGCCUGAAAACACCGGUCGUUGUUUAUUUAGCUGUGGCUGAUAGUCUUCUUCAUGAUCCAUCUAUAUUGAGUGGCUGGAAGGAAGGCUUGAUUCCUUAUGAGAAGAAGAAAUUGGGGUUUGAAGGGACUUACAAGAAGUUCCCUUAUCUCAUUCAGUCUGCAAUCGACUAUGAAGUGUGUUCAAGGGCUGAUGUCUUUGUGGGAAACAGUUUCUCCACAUUUUCGAACCUUAUAGUUCUCGAUCGAACGCAGAAGCUCAUUAGAAUGGGCGUCACAAGCUCUUGUGGUGUGGAUGUAAGGUGGCCUUCUUAUGCAUACAACAUAUUAGGGGAAGCAAAAGGCCCUCAAAGAUGGAUGACAAACAUGUCUGGCUCAAGUCUUCAAGCAAUUAGCUAUGGCUCCAAUGACAUUUCGUGUUGUGUUGAUCUUUAGUUUUUCCAUUGGUGGACAUGUUCAAGGCUCCACCACUUCUUGUAAUCUACAUCAUCCCGUCCCUCCAGCGCAAUAUUUUCGGAUGAUGGUACAGAUGACCAAAACAAACAGAUAAAGACAGAAGGAAAUGGAAUGGGACAGUCUUUAGCACAAGCAAGGAAUUAAGUUAUUUGGUACUUGAUUUUUGAUUCUUGUGGUGGGUCAUGUCCUUGGCUCUCAACUUUGAGCUUUUUUGGCCCAUCAUCUGUGUGUAUUUAUUUGACUUACUGAAAAUUCUCGCUCA